rnacentral:rRNA from 1 species
GAGUUUGAUCGUGGCUCAGAACGAACGCUGGCGGCAGGCUUAACACAUGCAAGUCGAGCGCGUAGCAAUACGAGCGGCGAACGGGUGAGUAACGCGUGGGAAUCUAUCCAGAACUAUGGGAUAACACAGAGAAAUUUGUGCUAAUACCAUAUACGCCCUACGGGGGAAAGAUUUAUUGGUUCUGGAUGAGCCCGCGUUGGAUUAGCUGGUUGGUAGGGUAAUGGCCUACCAAGGCGACGAUCCAUAGCUGGUCUGAGAGGACGAUCAGCCACACUGGGACUGAGACACGGCCCAGACUCCUACGGGAGGCAGCAGUGGGGAAU